GUACAGUACACAACAACAGUACAGUCUUUUUGAACCGUAUUUGGAUACGAGGAAUGCGACUCGUAAUAAAGGAACUGUUGUACAUUACGUUGAUUUACAGAACUAUUCCGAAGCUUUCACGGCGCGCGUACGCAAUACGUCUUCGAGUAACUUUAAUGAAACUUUCUCGGGAAUCGACGAGAAUUUCAUUCAGUAACGGCAACGCGUCGUAAAUAAAUAAAAUCGUUCUCCACAGCUAUCGGGGAAUGCGCAAACGUUCGCAAGAAUUCAAGAAGCGAUUGUGGUGCGUGAGUGCGUGCGUGCGUGCGUGCGUAACAUAGACGCGUGAGUUCGCAUAAUCAUGGUAGUUCAAUUAGAUUUGUUUCUGUUAUGAAAAAUUUAUAGAAACCGUUCAGACUGAUGAAAUAGCAGUUUUUAGAUAUACAUUU
rnacentral:misc_RNA from 1 species